AUACUUACCUGGCAGGGGAGAUACCAUGAUCACGAAGGUGGUUUUCCCAGGGCGAGGCUUAUCCAUUGCACUCCGGAUGUGCUGACCCCUGCGAUUUCCCCAAAUGUGGGAAACUCGAUUGCAUGAUUUGUGGUAGUGGGGGACUGCGUUUGCGCUUUCNNNNN
rnacentral:snRNA from 1 species